UACGUAGGGGGCAAGCGUUGUCCGGAAUUAUUGGGCGUAAAGAGCGCGUAGGCGGUCCGGUAAGUCGGCUGUGAAAGUCAAGGGCUCAACCCUUGAAAGCCGGCCGAUACUGUCGGACUAGAGUCCGGAAGAGGCGAGUGGAAUUCCCGGUGUAGCGGUGAAAUGCGCAGAUAUCAGGAGGAACACCGGUGGCGAAGGCGGGUCUCUGGGCAAUAACUGACGCUGAGGAGCGAAAGCGUGGGGAGCGAACAGG
rnacentral:rRNA from 1 species